UUAGCAAAGAACAGGUCAGGCC
rnacentral:siRNA from 1 species